rnacentral:rRNA from 1 species
CUGAGAGGGAGAUCCCCCACACUGGUACUGAGACAGGGACCAGACUCCUACGGGAGGCAGCAGUGAGGAAUAUUGGUCAAUGGUCGGAAGACUGAACCAGCCAUGCCGCGUGCAGGAAGAAUGCCUUAUGGGUUGUAAACUGCUUUUAUAUGGGAAGAAUAAGGUGUACGUGUACAUUGAUGACGGUACCAUAUGAAUAAGCAUCGGCUAACUCCGUGCCAGCAGCCGCGGUAAUACGGAGGAUGCGAGCGUUAUUCGGAAUCAUUGGGUUUAAAGGGUCUGUAGGCGGGCUAUUAAGUCAGAGGUGAAAGGUUUCAGCUUAACUGAGAAAUUGCCUUUGAUACUGGUAGUCUUGAAUAUCUGUGAAGUUCUUGGAAUGUGUAGUGUAGCGGUGAAAUGCUUAGAUAUUACACAGAACACCGAUUGCGAAGGCAGGGGACUAACAGACAAUUGACGCUGAGAGACGAAAGCGUGGGGAGCGAACAGGAUUAGAUACCCUGGUAGUCCACGCUGUAAACGAUGGAUACUAGCUGUUUGGCGCAAGCUGAGUGGCUAAGCGAAAGUGAUAAGUAUCCCACCUGGGGAGUACGCACGCAAGUGUGAAACUCAAAGGAAUUGACGGGGGCCCGCACAAGCGGUGGAGCAUGUGGUUUAAUUCGAUGAUA